AUUUCCGUGAGCCUGUUUCUUGUGUCUUUGUCCUCAUUUGGAUCUACUCUCCUGCUCUUGGACGCCGUCAGUGUCUCCAGAGGGAAGUCUACUUUUUAUUUGCUGAGGUGACUUGAAGGUCCUCUAGGUCCACCAUCAUAGUCAAAAUCAUCUCCGGUUGAGAAGAAGGAACAAAUUGAAAACAUGAUAAAGAGCAUGGGCCCCACCAGAAGGAAGAAUGCUGAGACAGGAGAAUGGGAGCUAGUCCAGGCUGGACACAACCCCACAGGUAUCUCCUAGGACUUCUGAGAAACAGGCAAAGGUUCUUGACUCAAGCACUGGGAUUUGGAUUCAGAGGGACCAAGGCAGAGUGGCUCUGAAGAUAUAUGAGCCUGCUCUAGACUACACCCUGACCCAGAAGACUGAUGUCAGGAACAUAACAGAUGGUGUAACCAGAAGGACCUUCAGGGUAGACAUCACAGCACUUCUGUGCCCUGGCUUCCAUCACUGCACUGGGUGGCUGUGAGGGAGCCACUCACUGGGAAGACUGGAGACAUGUGAACUCCAUGUCCUGCUUUUGUAACCUUCUUAGAAACUUGUAACCACUUUGAGGUACAUGAAAC
rnacentral:lncRNA from 1 species